GAUGAACGCUAGCUACAGGCCUAACACAUGCAAGUCGAGGGGCAUCGGGAGGGAAGCUUGCUUCCCUUGCCGGCGACCGGCGCACGGGUGAGUAACGCGUAUCGAACCUGCCCCAUACCCGGGGAUAGCCUUGCGAAAGUAAGAUUAAUACCCGAUGGUUUCCCUUUGCCUCCUGACAAAGGGAAUAAAGAAUUUCGGUAUGGGAUGGCGAUGCGUCCGAUUAGCUGGUUGGCGGGGUAACGGCCCACCAAGGCGACGAUCGGUAGGGGUUCUGAGAGGAAGGUCCCCCACAUUGGAACUGAGACACGGUCCAAACUCCUACGGGAGGCAGCAGUGAGGAAUAUUGGUCAAUGGGCGGAAGCCUGAACCAGCCAAGUAGCGUGCAGGAUGACGGCCCUACGGGUUGUAAACUGCUUUUAGGCGGGGGUAAAGUGCCGGACGCGUUCCGGUAUUGCAAGUACCCUAUGAAUAAGGACCGGCUAAUUCCGUG
rnacentral:rRNA from 1 species